rnacentral:tRNA from 1 species
GAGGUGUUAGUAAAAUAUUACAUAAUCUUGUCAAGAUUAAAUUACAGGUGA